rnacentral:rRNA from 1 species
AUGUCUGAUUCCGCCAGGGGCACCUGGGUCAAGAUGUACACGAUCCCGAUGCUUCCAUCCAUGGAUUUCGUGAGGCCUUUGAGGAUGAUACGUCGUGAUGGGAAGCUAUUGUUCUAUUGCUUCCAUUUUGGCGAGGCAACUCCAUCGCUGGAGCUCUAUGAUCCGUUCAAUGGGACAUGCACACACUUGGCGAAGCAUCCACGUAACCUCUUGGGUGAUGUUGGUGUUUGGGGCUUGCACUUGAAGUGUUUUGUCUCAGCCAAGAUCUCGCCGGUGGCUACACCAGAUGAAUCCUUGAUCUCUUUUAUAAAGGAUCUUUUUGACAAACCAAAACCACACGAAUCCUUGAUCUCUUUUAUAAAGGAUUUUUUUGAGUAG